AGCGAACGCUGGCGGCAGGCUUAACACAUGCAAGUCGAGCGGGCAUCCUUGUGGUGUCAGCGGCAGACGGGUGAGUAACGCGUGGGAACGUGCCCUUCGGUUCGGAAUAACUCAGGGAAACUUGAGCUAAUACCGGAUACGUGCGAGAGCAGAAAGGUUUAUCUGCCGAAGGAUCGGCCCGCGUCUGAUUAGCUAGUUGGUGAGGUUAUGGCUCACCAAGGCGACGAUCAGUAGCUGGUCUGAGAGGAUGAUCAGCCACACUGGGACUGAGACACGGCCCAGACUCCUACGGGAGGCAGCAGUGGGGAAUAUUGGACAAUGGGGGAAACCCUGAUCCAGCCAUGCCGCGUGAGUGAUGACGGCCUUAGGGUUGUAAAGCUCUUUUCUUCGGGACGAUAAUGACGGUACCGGAGGAAUAAGCCCCGGCUAACUUCGUG
rnacentral:rRNA from 1 species